GUUAAGAAAAACCUAGGGAAAACAAACACUCUAUUCCUGAUUGUUUAUUCACCAGUCUCUUAGGAACCAUAAUUACGUCUCCCAGGAAUUGUGUUUUAUCAUACUGUAUAUCUUAAAGAGCCACUUUAGGUAAAAUAACAAGGAGUGCCUUAUGAAGGAAAAUUGGAUUAAUUUUAAGACUUUUUUAACCCUCUGAAGAAUGGCUCUUUGUUUACUUCUUUAGUGCAUGUGGCAACUUGCCCAAGUAAAUACUAUGCUGCAUAAAUACCAGAGAUUGGUAUUUAUGAUAUUACAUAAACACACUGUGAAUAAUGAGUCAUUGUAACAGUGAAGAAGAACACGAGCAACAUACAUUGCAGUCAAUGCACUAUUCCUCAUCACAGAAUUGAGUGCCACUGAAGCCUUGGAGGAUGGAAUGACCCUGAGUGGAGAGGAAAAACCCUACAGCGCUGCUCAGCACAUCAGAGUUUACCAAACAAAACAGAAACCAGCCAAAACAGCAAUUUGGUGAGGGGCCAGGCUUCACCAGCAAUCUGGAUGACAGAAAAUAAUCUGGAUGACAGAAAACAAUGGUUCCUCAGCAAGUCUGUGCAGGACUGAAUUGAGGCUCUAUGUCCUUAUGCUGGAGGACAAGGCAGCCAUUCAGGUGGUCUUCCACAGCCUGGAAGACAAGUGUAAAAGAAAUCUGUUGAAAUUCAUCAAGGACAAAUGUAAAGUGUGCACCUGACACAGAAUAAACCUGUGUGAGAGGCAGCAGCAUGACUUUGCAGUGCUGAUGGGCAAUGGCACCUUGGCCUGCAUGGGACAGGCUCUCUGCAGAGCUGAACAGCACAAGAACAGAAGAAAUGGCAAUCAACAUCAUAGAAGAAAUUUUUCAAAAUAAGAGCAGCUGAACUCCAGCAGGUGCCCAGAGAGGUUUGUGAAAUCCCCAUCCUUGGAGAUUUCAAAAUGUAAUGGACAAAGCCCUGAGCAGCCUAAGCUGAUGUUGAGGUUAGCCCUGCUUUGAGGAGGUUGGGGUACAGCCUCCAGAUGUCCCUUCCAACCAAUAUUAUUUUGUGUCUGUUUUGUUGGGCUUUUUUGUUUGUUUUAACUGUAUUUAGCUGUUAACCAGGGAGAUUCAUCUGGAGUUAAUGAUUCCCCAGAAAGAAUGGAAGCUGUUACCACCAUUGCAGUUACCUGCCAGUUAUUUAUUUAUUUAUAAUAUGAAUGAAUUCUGACUAUGCAUCACAAGUUCAAACAGUCAAGAGACUUCACUUCAGAGGUUGUAAGGAUCAAAGAUAACUUUCUUUCUCAGAUCUUAAAACUAAGCAGAAAGGAGGUCCUGCCACUCAGAAGCACACAUACACUCACACUCUCACACACACACAGUGUAUAAUAUCACAGAGCAAAAAACUAAAGAGUUUAGAGUUAUAGAAUGUACUAAUAUAUAUAAAGCAAGAUAUAAGUUUUAAGACAGAAGCUAGUCCUUCUCCUUUACCUUCCUCUUCAUAAGUUUAGGUAGUAUUUUGUAACUCCCCAGCUGCAUCCCAGCCAGCACGCUGGGCUGUGCAUUAUUUGUGUGCAGCCAUUUGUCCAGCAGCCCAAGCUGCCUGGAGUUCAGGAAAAUAGCUGCUGGUUGCUGUGUCUCAGCAGAACUGUGCUGCAGACACUGGGGUAUGGGAGAGCCUGGAUCCAAACAGCACUGUCUGCAAUGCCAGGUGUGUCACCCAAAAGUGGGCCAGCAUAUUGAGGUAUGUAGGAUAUACAGAUAGACCUGCUGGUCUCUGGAGAGACACAGGUCACUCCUGUGAGUCACAGA